GUAAGCCUUUGCUACCACCCCGGCGAAGGCCGGGGUCCAGCACCGGGCCGGUCGUGACUGGACCCCGGCCUUCGCCGGGGUGGAAAGGAAGGGGAGG
rnacentral:sRNA from 2 species